UACGUACUCCCUCCGUUCGAAAUUACUUGUCGCAAAAAUGGAUGUAUCUAAACGUAUUUUAGUUCUAGAUACAUCCACCUUCGAUAGAUACAUCCACCUUCGAGACAAGUAAUUCCGAACGGAGGGAGUACGUA
rfam:Triticum aestivum genome assembly, contig: Triticum_aestivum_CS42_TGACv1_scaffold_592732_7BS